rnacentral:rRNA from 1 species
CCUACGGGGGGCUGCAGUGAGGAAUAUUGGUCAAUGGACGAGAGUCUGAACCAGCCAAGUAGCGUGAAGGAUGACUGCCCUAUGGGUUGUAAACUUCUUUUAUAUGGGAAUAAAAUGUUCCACGUGUGGGAUUUUGUAUGUACCAUAUGAAUAAGGAUCGGCUAACUCCGUGCCAGCAGCCGCGGUAAUACGGAGGAUCCGAGCGUUAUCCGGAUUUAUUGGGUUUAAAGGGAGCGUAGGUGGAUUGUUAAGUCAGUUGUGAAAGUUUGCGGCUCAACCGUAAAAUUGCAGUUGAAACUGGCAGUCUUGAGUACAGUAGAGGUGGGCGGAAUUCGUGGUGUAGCGGUGAAAUGCUUAGAUAUCACGAAGAACUCCGAUUGCGAAGGCAGUUCACUGGACUGUAACUGACACUGAGGCUCGAAAGUGUGGGUAUCAAACAGGAUUAGAUACCCUUGUAGUC